rnacentral:piRNA from 1 species
UAAACGGAUAAUGGACAUGGUGA